AAAUUAAAUGUUAAAAAUACCUUGAUGUAAUAACAAUAAAAGGUCUUAACCAGAUUAAAUUUUUGGACUAUGCAAACUUGUUUUGGAAAUUUGAUUUUAAUAGAUUUUGAAUAUGUGAUCUAUACCAGUAUAUGUUUAUUAGAACCUCAACUAAAUAGUAAAAAAUUUUGACAUUCCAAUUGUCACGUGCAGGAAUCUCAUUUGUUUAUCAUAUACAUCACUAUUACAUUCUGUAUUUUUAUUUUCUUGAAAGUUAGAAUUAAGAACCCUUAAAUAAAAAAUUGGGCUUAAUAAAUUGUGUAUGAUGAUUAAAAAACAGGAUUGGAAUCCAGAAAAUGAAAGCAAAACUGAAAAAAAUGUUUUUUUACAUCCUCUGACUUCACACAAAUGCUUGUAUGAUGUUAGUUUUUAGACUUCACUUUUCAAAAUAAAUUUGUGCAAUGUUUUUUCUCUAAUAUUUGUAAUAGACUUUAUUAGAAAGCAUGUUCAUCAUGUUGUAGAUAUAGACUGAUAAUUCAUGUUAAUAGCUACUUGCAAGUGUAAAUACUCACUGAAAAUGUAAAGCAUUUUUUCUAGAUGUCUGCAAUCCAAAUUUUCUGUGAGAUUCACUUUUGAUUGCAUGUACUUAUAGCUAUUAUCCUGAAUUAUUUUAGUAGAUUUUUGAAAGAAAUUUGUUUUUAAUUUGGAUGUCUUGACUCUUAAAGAGAAUUUGAUGGUGCAGUGAGGAGUUAGUUCCCUUAGCCAGUUUUUGUCCAACAGUUGCAAACACACACAGUACACAAUAUGUGAAUGGAAGAAGAUGUGAUAUGUGAGAGAAUCAUUGUAUUUAGCCAUAUCUGGGUCAUGCAUUGAAUUAUUCACAAAUUAUUUAAAUAAGAUUCUUUUAUUUUUAAGGCAACUCUUUAUUAUUACCCAAAAUAUCAAUGAAAUGUAUAUUUUUAUUUUCAGUGUACACAUUCCAUUUAUUUUACAGGUUGUGUAAAACAGUGUUGUGAUAAAACAUAAUGCACAACCAUUGCAGCCAAAUUCAUUGUAUUCUUUUGAUACUAUAGCUUAACUUUUAACAUCGUGUUGCCAUAGUUUCUAUUUGUUUAAUGACUGGCACUGAUAUUUUGUUGAACACAAACUCAGACAUGUACAUUUAGUCAGAUUUCUUAAUAAAUUUUUAAUUUUG
rnacentral:misc_RNA from 1 species